rnacentral:siRNA from 1 species
UCGGACCAGGCUUCAUCC